rnacentral:rRNA from 1 species
UAAAAUCUGCUCAAUGAAUUAUUUUAAAUAGCCGCAAAUUAAUUGUGCUAAGGUAGCAUAAUCAUUUGUUUUUUAAUUAAAAACUAGAAUGAAAGAUUUAACAUUUUAAUUUCUUUAUUAAAUAUUUUAUAUAAAUUUAUAUUAAAUAUAAAAAUAUAUUUAUAAAAUAAAAAGACGACAAGACCCUAUUAAAUUUUACUUAUUGUUUAGCUGGGGCAGCUUUUUAAAUAAAAUUUUAAUUUUAUAUAAAUAAUUUAAUUUAAAUAUCUAACAUAAUUAAAUUAAUCCAAUUACUAUAGGGAUAACAGCGUUAUAUUUUUUUCAAGUUCAUAUUUAAAAAAAUCAUUGCGACCUCGAUGUUGAAUUAUAUUUCUCUAUUAAUGCAACAAU